GAUGAACGCUGGCGGCGUGCCUAAUACAUGCAAGUCGAGCGAACAGACGAGGAGCUUGCUCCUCUGACGUUAGCGGCGGACGGGUGAUUAACACGUGGAUAACCUACCUAUAAGACUGGGAUAACUUCGGGAAACCGGAGCUAAUACCGGAUAAUAUAUUGAACCGCAUGGUUCAAUAGUGAAAGACGGUUUUGCUGUCACUUAUAGAUGGAUCCGCGCCGCAUUAGCUAGUUGGUAAGGUAACGGCUUACCAAGGCAACGAUGCGUAGCCGACCUGAGAGGGUGAUCGGCCACACUGGAACUGAGAAACGGUCCAGACUCCUACGGGAGGAAGCAGUAGGGAAUCUUCCGCAAUGGGCGAAAGCCUGACGGAGCAACGCCGCGUGAGUGAUGAAGGUCUUCGGAUCGUAAAACUCUGUUAUUAGGGAAGAACAAAUGUGUAAGUAACUAUGCACGUCUUGACGGUACCUAAUCAGAAAGCCACGGCUAACUACGUG
rnacentral:rRNA from 1 species